UGGGGAAUAUUGCACAAUGGGGGAAACCCUGAUGCAGCAACGCCGCGUGAGUGAUGAAGAUUUUCGGAUCGUAAAGCUCUGUCUUUGGGGAAGAUAAUGACGGUACCCAAGGAGGAAGCCACGGCUAACUACGUGCCAGCAGCCGCGGUAAUACGUAGGUGGCGAGCGUUAUCCGGAUUUACUGGGCGUAAAGGGAGCGUAGGCGGAUGAUUAAGUGGGAUGUGAAAUACCCAGGCUCAACUUGGGUGCUGCAUUCCAAACUGGUUAUCUAGAGUGCAGGAGAGGAGAGUGGAAUUCCUAGUGUAGCGGUGAAAUGCGUAGAGAUUAGGAAGAACACCAGUGGCGAAGGCGACUCUCUGGACUGUAACUGACGCUGAGGCUCGAAAGCGUGGGGAGCAAACA
rnacentral:rRNA from 1 species